rnacentral:rRNA from 1 species
GAUGAACGCUGGCGGCGUGCCUAACACAUGCAAGUCGAACGGAGUCCAGCCUUUAAGACCUUCGGGUCAAAGAGGGGAAGACUGAGUGGCGGACGGGUGAGUAACACGUGGGCAACCUGGCUCAUAGAGGGGGAUAACAGAGAGAAAUUUCUGCUAAUACCGCAUAAGCACACACUGCCGCAUGGCAGAGGGUGAAAAGAGAAUCGCUAUGAGAUGGACCCGCGUCUGAUUAGCCAGUUGGCAGGGUAAGAGCCUACCAAAGCGACGAUCAGUAGCCGAUCUGAGAGGAUGAACGGCCACAUUGGGACUGAGACACGGCCCAAACUCCUACGGGAGGCAGCAGUGGGGGAUAUUGCACAAUGGGGGGAACCCUGAUGCAGCGACGCCGCGUGAGUGAAGAAGUAUUUCGGUAUGUAAAACUCUAUCAGCAGGGAAGAUAAUGACAGUACCUGAAGAAGAAGCCCCGGCUAACUACGUG